rnacentral:rRNA from 1 species
AUUGAACGCUGGCGGCAUGCUUUACACAUGCAAGUCGAACGGUAACAGGCCGCAAGGUGCUGACGAGUGGCGAACGGGUGAGUAAUGCAUCGGAACGUGCCCAGUCGUGGGAGAUAACUACUCGAAAGAGUAGCUAAUACCGCAUACGAUCUAUGGAUGAAAGCGGGGGACCGUAAGGCCUCGCGCGAUUGGAGCGGCCGAUGUCAGAUUAGGUAGUUGGUGGGGUAAAGGCUCACCAAGCCAACGAUCUGUAGCUGGUCUGAGAGGACGACCAGCCACACUGGGACUGAGACACGGCCCAGACUCCUACGGGAGGCAGCAGUGGGGAAUUUUGGACAAUGGGCGCAAGCCUGAUCCAGCAAUGCCGCGUGCAGGAAGAAGGCCUUCGGGUUGUAAACUGCUUUUGUACGGAACGAAACGGCUCUGGUUAAUACCCGGGGCUAAUGACGGUACCGUAAGAAUAAGCACCGGCUAACUACGUG